rnacentral:lncRNA from 1 species
UUGCAUAUCUAGGGUGUAGGUUCCUCAAUCAUCUCAAAAUGAAUGCAGUUAUAGUCUCAUUGGUCAGUUGCUUAGUAGCCUCAAGCUCCUUCAUGGUCACAUCAAUGUCGCUAUUAAAAGUGUACUAAGACAAAAACUCAUGCAUAAGAUCUGCGCAACUCCGGAUCCUUGGAGCAUCGAGAGGAAGUAACACCAUUGCCACCUUUAAUUCCAUGAGCAUGGACUCCUCCGAUAGUCCAACCCACAACACCUUUCCACCUCAUUGAUUAUUUUGUCUAUGACUUCACCAGCUUCUAUAUUACCUACACCUGCAAUUUAUGGUACAAGG